rnacentral:lncRNA from 1 species
CCAAGUGCCCUUUGGUGGACGUUGUGGAGAUGUGGCAAAGAAUGUCCAAGAUGCUGGACAAGUGUUGGUGGAGAGAGUUGGGAACGUGAAGUCCAAACCAGGCCGCUGCACUUUCCGUAGACACCUCAACAUCCAAGCAGCUGCACCUCCUAUUCAAAUCUGGUCAGGCCGUGAAGGUGCUUAACGUGAUCUCCUUUUGUUUGUAAUGAAAGCACGUGUGUGAACUCUAGCUGAAGAGUGAAGUCCAGCAUCUUUGAACGUCACCAACCGUGACACCACUUGGACCAAAUUUGCUUUCUUUUAUCCAGCAACAUCUUUCUUUAUUCCAACUUCCAAGCCCAAAAUGGGUCCAACAUUCUUUUCUUUCUAGCCCAAGUGAUUCAGCUGUGUGCAUUUCAUUAAAAUGAGAUCAGCUCCCAAUUAAAUUCAGCACAUGUACCUCCUAGGAAAACAAAAAUCAUGUAGCGCUUUUCAAAGAAAAUGUGGGCUAAACGUGAGUUGUGUGCUUCAUUCUAGCAUCAACGUGCUGCACUCUUCCAGAAUAAGAAAUGACUGUGCUUCCAUCAAACACACCCACGCUGGAUCAAAUGUUAAAGAAACUUAGAGCUUUCCAUUACAGGCCAUCUCUGUGUGCACCCC